rnacentral:rRNA from 1 species
GAUGAACGCUGGCGGCGUGCCUAAUACAUGCAAGUCGAGCGAACAGACGAGGAGCUUGCUCCUCUGACGUUAGCGGCGGACGGGUGAGUAACACGUGGAUAACCUACCUAUAAGACUGGGAUAACUUCGGGAAACCGGAGCUAAUACCGGAUAAUAUAUUGAACCGCAUGGUUCAAUAGUGAAAGACGGUUUUGCUGUCACUUAUAGAUGGAUCCGCGCCGCAUUAGCUAGUUGGUAAGGUAACGGCUUACCAAGGCAACGAUGCGUAGCCGACCUGAGAGCGUGGUCGGCCACACUGGAACUGAGACACGGUCCAGACUCCUACGGGAGGCAGCAGUAGGGAAUCUUCCGCAAUGGGCGAAAGCCUGACGGAGCAACGCCGCGUGAGUGAUGAAGGUCUUCGGAUCGUAAAACUCUGUUAUUAGGGAAGAACAAAUGUGUAAGUAACUAUGCACGUCUUGACGGUACCUAAUCAGAAAGCCACGGCUAACUACGUG